rnacentral:rRNA from 1 species
AGAGUUUGAUCCUGGCUCAGGAUGAACGCUAGCUACAGGCUUAACACAUGCAAGUCGAGGGGCAGCAUGGGCUUAGCUUGCUAAGCCCGAUGGCGACCGGCGCACGGGUGAGUAACACGUAUCCAACCUUCCGGUAACUCCGGUAUAGCCUUUCGAAAGAAAGAUUAAUCCCGGAUAGUAUGGUGAUUCCGCAUGGUUUUUCCAUUAAAGGAUUCCGGUUACCGAUGGGGAUGCGUUCCAUUAGGCAGUUGGCGGGGUAACGGCCCACCAAACCUACGAUGGAUAGGGGUUCUGAGAGGAAGGUCCCCCACAUUGGAACUGAGACACGGUCCAAACUCCUACGGGAGGCAGCAGUGAGGAAUAUUGGUCAAUGGGCGGAAGCCUGAACCAGCCAAGUAGCGUGAAGGAUGACUGCCCUAUGGGUUGUAAACUUCUUUUAUAAGGGAAUAAAUGUGGGUACGCGUACCCGUUUGCAUGUACCUUAUGAAUAAGGAUCGGCUAACUCCGUGCCAGCAGCCGCGGUAAUACGGAGGAUCCGAGCGUUAUCCGGAUUUAUUGGGUUUAAAGGGAGCGUAGGCGGGCGCUUAAGUCAGCUGUGAAAGUUUGGGGCUCAACCUUAAAAUUGCAGUUGAUACUGGGUGCCUUGAGUGCAGUAUAGGCAGGCGGAAUUCGUGGUGUAGCGGUGAAAUGCUUAGAUAUCACGAAGAACUCCUAUUGCGAAGGCAGCUUGCUGGAGUGUAACUGACGCUGAUGCUCGAAAGUGUGGGUAUCAAACAGGAUUAGAUACCCUGGUAGUCCACACAGUAAACGAUGAAUACUCGCUGUUUGCGAUAUACUGCAAGCGGCCAAGCGAAAGCGUUAAGUAUUCCACCUGGGGAGUACGCCGGCAACGGUGAAACUCAAAGGAAUUGACGG